rnacentral:lncRNA from 1 species
GUAUAAUCAUGAGCUGGUCGAUAAUAGUUGUCUCAAUGCGCGAUGAAUAAAUUUGUAGUAGAAUGCGAGUGCUCUACUACCCCUUAAUUUGGCUUUGUCUCGGUGUGUGAUACACUGUAGUGAACUGUGAAGUAUGUUUAGUUCGAAUUGCAUGUGGGGUGUAUACGCGAUGGCAUAAAAUAGGAAAUAACCUCUGAAAUAACAGUGUAUCGUAUUAGGAAUUGUUUUGAUCUGGUGAAAUAUGCCGUAAACCUUUUCGUUUUGGUAGUUGGUACGCUAGCUAUAUAAGUACCUACUAUGUACAGUACUGGGUUUUGUAAGACGCUAUGCAAAUGCAGGUGAUCAUGAUGUCAUGCUGUAGUAUUUCAAUUAUUAUCUAGCGCUUGUGGUAUAAAAUGCGAAGAUCGCUGUUGACAUAUUUUGUGAGACUGGGGUUUUUGUACAGGAGAAUAUAUAUGUUGUAUUUUACAGUUAUAUGACGUCAUGACGUGCAAGCAAUUUUGAUGCUUUCUAUAUAUUUACUAUUAAAUUUUUGAAAUCUCGUCCGCGCAUUUCCAAGCUUUCCAGAGAGAAAUAUGCGGAAACCCAUGAAAGCAGAAUGUCGGUAAUAAAAUCGUCUAACCCAGCUGCAUAUACUUCAUGCGCUCUGCCGCGUCCAAAUACCGAGUGUGGCAGGAAAUGUUUCCUCUACAGUGGGGUUAAUUAAAAUCUGUACUGAGCAUUCCUGAACGAGUGAGAAACCGACGAUCUUUAAAUUCUUUCACUAGCAAUUUUUCUUAUGCCAGUUUGUAAUUUUAUACCUUAUAUAGUCCAUAUAUACAGGAUUUUGCGUUGUGCAAUCUUUUGUAUAGGCGGUAUUUGGUUAAUGGAUUUCUUGGGUCUUCAUCGGGUUUGGAGAGUAGACCAUAUAGUAAGAUAUUGUAUAGUAAUGGCAUAAUGUAUGUAUAAUGCGUGUGCAUGGUGUUCUGACAGUUCUGUAUAUCUUGGAUAACGAUCUAUACACGCGUGUCGUGCAUAGACAUCUAGUGUAUAUAUAUACGAUAUCUAUGGAGUAUGGUGUCGUGGCUGAAGUUAUGUGGUUGUUUGUAAAUUUUAUUCCUGAUUGAGAUAUAUGAUUAGAUAGGUGACAUACACUAGUCACAGACACAAUAGUCGGUACCGUACAUGUAUAUAUAUUCUAACAUAGAGAUUUAUGUAUAGCGUCAUAUUGUUUGCUAUGCAUGCUUCAAAUUGGCUUGUCUUGUAGCUGGCUAGCGCUACAGUCUUAAUGUAUCUUAAAUUGAGUUACAGAGAUUAGAAGUCUAUUUACCUCUUCGGUAUCAGGCAAAUGAUAUCAGUACAAUCUUACAAAUGUGGUUCAUGGGGAAAACAAAACAAAACAUAAAUAUGCCUCACCACAAGGAGUUAGAUUAUAAGAUGACAGUAUUCUGCGAGACUGCCACAGACUGGCAUAAUUUGACUGGCCAUUGUAGUAUACAUAGGGCGACUCUGUUUAUAUGCCUGUGGCCAAAUGUUUCAUCAUGAAGCAGGGUAUUUUGUUGAUGAAGUGGACAUUGUACUUGUACGUGACAAAC